AAAUAAUACAAUAUAAUGAAUAAUAAAAAAAAUGACAAUUAACUAAAAAUACAGUUCACGAGGCAUUGAAGCUAAUCCUUGCUAGCUGAUGGUGGGCAUGGUAAUGAUUAGCUGACUCUAAUAAAUCAAAAUUGUAAUCAACUUUGGAAUAAAAUUGAUUUUAUUCCAAAUAAUUGAUCUAGAACAUUUACAAUAGCUACAGAUACUGUGAUUAUCUAACCUUAAUUAACUAAUUAGGAUUAAAAAUAUAAAGUAAAUAGUUAAUUUUGAGAAUUUAUAAGCAUGUAAUAGUAAUUUGCCCUUGUAAGAAGUACCCGAUUACAAUCCGGUUCAAAUCAUAGGCAGCAGGAGGUGGUGGUGGUGGUGGUGGGGUUUAGGAUAAGGAAGUGCACGUGGGCUUCUUAAAAGCUGCUAUUUUGACCAAACACCUUGUUCUUCUUCUCCACCUUCCUCUUCUUCACGGGUUAGGAGUUGACGGAGUGAAAGGUGCACCUUCUUAUGUGGCCGACAGCAGAAUAAAUAUUAAUUUAAAAUUGCAAAAUCCAGCUUCUGACAAUUCUAUCCUUACUGCACCAAAAUCUUUCAGCAGGUACGAUUUGCUUGCAAGUUAGCUCCACAUUACUCAUCCAGUCACUUCUAGCAGAGUCGCUCCUUUAAUUUUUCUCUCUACUUUCUCCUCUCUUGCCUGCAAGAAGAAACAAAAGGGGAUGCCAUGGCAAAAGUCAUGGAGUGGUCAUCUUUCAACUGUACACUUGACUCACGUGAAUAUGGGUUGUAACCCUACAGUUCCGUUAGGUCCACAAAGCUGAGUUCUGAGUUUCGACCACAAUACAAUGACUCAACAAAAGGCUAAUGAUCCAAAAGGCUAGGGCAGAGGCUGUGUUUGUAUACAUUCUUAUUUUAUAAAGACGUCUUAUUACAAAUCCGUUGUCUUUAAUUAGAAAAACCAAAAUCAUUUAAUUAUAAGCUAAUUUCGUUUGGCUGUAGACAAGUUGAUGUGGACCAGUGACGCUCUCUAAUAACUUGAUUAUAUAUAUAUUAUAGUCUAAUUGAGUUGAUUAGUGGAAUUAUAAUUAUUUUGCAUGAACUUCCUGAAUCUUACACAGUUGUCUGGAAGUUCCAUUUCUGAGCCUCUUUUGGUAUAUAGUAUGAACGUGUGUCUCCGAAGUCUGAAAUGAUUCAGGCAAACAUUCAAGAUGGAAAGAAAAAGAAAACACUGGCAGUCUUCUUGUGGGUGGCUGAUGACUGAUGUUGUCCAAAAUGAUGGCUAAAUAAUUAGUAGAAAUAAAAGAAGAAUGUGUAUCAGAUUCAGAAGAUGCACAACAAUAUAUCUUUUUUUUUUUCAUAGAGAAAAAUGAAGAGAAAG
rnacentral:misc_RNA from 1 species